CAAAGGGAUUACCGGUGGCGGAUGGGCAUGCGGCGCAUUAGCUAGUCGGCGGGGUAACGGCCCACCGAGGCGACGAUGCGUAGGGGUUCUGAGAGGAAGGUCCCCCACACUGGUACUGAGACACGGACCAGACUCCUACGGGAGGCACCAGUGAGGAAUAUUGGUCAAUGGGCGCGAGCCUGAACCAGCCAAGUCGCGUGAGGGAUGACGGUCCUAUGGAUUGUAAACCUCUUUUGCCGGGGAGCAAGCGUGCGUUCGUGAACGCGCGUCGAGAGUACCCGGAGAAAAAGCAUCGGCUAACUCCGUGCCAGCAGCCGCGGUAAUACGGAGGAUGCGAGCGUUAUCCGGAUUUAUUGGGUUUAAAGGGUGCGUAGGCGGGAUGCCAAGUCAGCGGUAAAAAUGCGGUGCUCAACGCCGUCGAGCCGUUGAAACUGGCGUUCUUGAGUGGGCGAGAAGUAUGCGGAAUGCGUGGUGUAGCGGUGAAAUGCAUAGAUAUCACGCAGAACUCCGAUUGCGAAGGCAGCAUACCGGCGCCCUACUGACGCUGAGGCACGAAAGCGUGGGUAUCGAACAGGAUUAGAUACCCUGGUAGUCCACGCAGUAAACGAUGAAUGCUAACUGUCCGGCUCGAAUGAGCGCUGG
rnacentral:rRNA from 1 species